CACACGGACAUGUUAAUGGUUUACUAUAUAUGUUGUGUGCCCUCCUUACUUUUCUCUCUUCUUCCCGGACUGCAACCGGACAACAUGACCUUUGCUGCUCCCAAAUAAAAUGAUGCCGUUGUGACUAGCGAGGAGGAACAGUCCCAAACAACGACUGAUGUCAGUGCACCGUCCCCAACACAAAGUCAAGCACAGACACCAACUCGAGCACAAGCAACGCCGAGCGCCAGCCCGACACCGCAGCGUGUGGUUAUACACUGUAAAAUUACAGUAAAUUACUGGCUACUAGUUGCAUGGAUUUCACAGUAAUUUACUGUAGAUAUUUUUACAGUAAAUUAGAAUAAAAGUACAACUAAGUACUGUGACUUUACAGUUGCCAUGCCCAUGGAAUUACUUUGAUAAAGCAAUACAAAAGGCUGGCUAAUGUUUGGAGUUAGUGACAAUGUAUUCUAGAUAGCUAUCUUAACGAUUUAUUAAAUAAUAUUGCACACAAGUAACUUUGACACAUUCACUGCACAUCUUCAGCCAAGUUCAGCAACAAAUGUGCGCAGUUUACAGCAUUCACACGCAUUUUCAGCAGGAUAUACAUUUUCUAGUUUCUACAGGGUUACAGGAGUAUCAAGGAAAGUCUUAAUAAUUUACAUUUUGUUUAGUGGAAAUAUAAUAUGUUCCCUCCUUUAAUAUCCUUUUGAUCCAUCUCAUCAAAAUCGUUCGGGAACCAUUUCUUCAAGCAACACAUAUCUGUUUCCCUUGUGGCUGUAUCAAAAACGACUUGAUUCUUCUCACUAGAUUUAAAGAUGAAGGCUGUUUUAUUUCUAUAUGAUUGCAUUAUAUUGCUUUUGCAUCUUUGACUCAAAACUGCCAUUUUGGACGAAUUAAAUACAGUAUCUCAUCUCUGCUCCCAUUUAGUUUAAUUCUGAUUUUGCAGUGAGAAAUAUAUAUUUAUAUCUACUCUUGUGAAUUCAUCUGAAGCUGCAAACAGAAUUUAAUGAACUGACUCUGAUUUCACAGGUCCUAUUUUACAGUGCCAUGAACACACAUUAAACUCAUGCCAACUAUUUAA